rnacentral:rRNA from 1 species
UGGGGAAUAUUGCACAAUGGGCGCAAGCCUGAUGCAGCCAUGCCGCGUGUAUGAAGAAGGCCUUCGGGUUGUAAAGUACUUUCAGCGAGGAGGAAGGUGUUGAGGUUAAUAACCUCAGCAAUUGACGUUACUCGCAGAAGAAGCACCGGCUAACUCCGUGCCAGCAGCCGCGGUAAUACGGAGGGUGCAAGCGUUAAUCGGAAUUACUGGGCGUAAAGCGCACGCAGGCGGUCUGUCAAGUCGGAUGUGAAAUCCCCGGGCUCAACCUGGGAACUGCAUCCGAAACUGGCAGGCUAGAGUCUUGUAGAGGGGGGUAGAAUUCCAGGUGUAGCGGUGAAAUGCGUAGAGAUCUGGAGGAAUACCGGUGGCGAAGGCGGCCCCCUGGACAAAGACUGACGCUCAGGUGCGAAAGCGUGGGGAGCAAACAGG